UAGUAAAAAGUUAAAUAUUCAUUAACUGUAUCAGACAUUAGCCAUACGGGCGACAGUGAGCUGAGGACGACCAUCGAUUGGGCUUGAAGCGGUAUCUUUCCAUCCCGUCCGUUGAUUCGCCUGGUCUUGACAGCUGGAUCCGGUGCCUCCCAAGCCGGAUCCUCCGCCUCCUCCCCGAGCUCGUCCAACGCGCCCCCGACCGCGCCCAUCCUCCACUGCGCCCCUCCCGAGCGGGAUCCGCGGCCUCCUCUUCGAGAUCGUCCACCGCGACCCCGACCGCGCCGCCGUCAUCACCCACGUCUCCUCGCUACCAGCGACGGCGCCCCUGCUCCUCUCCCUGUGUUGCGCUCGGCCGCUCGAUCGGGUGCCCACCUCCGCCGUCCUUGCUGCUUGCCGAUUCGUCGACUGCGCGGCGCAUGCUACAGCUAGGGCUCGGGAUGGAGGCCGAUCCGCAGGCUAGGGUUCAGAGCAUCCCUAUCAGUGCCGUCACCAGCAAUCGGGUCUUCGGAUCUGGCCGCUGCAAAUCGGCGCUCGUGGCAUGGAUCCUGAACCAAUCAUCGCCUCCACCGACGAGUUGGCUAUGCUGUCAUCCAGCCACCCAUCCUGCUGGAUGUGGAUGCCCGUAUGGCUGCUGAAGUCAUUUUAGUUGGCCAUGUGCGCCCCUCUAGCUGGAAUCGAAAUGCUACUGUUCUAGGCUUUGGAAGAGAUACAGGAGCUGCCUUCCAUGGAGAAGUACAGACUAAACGCCUCUUCUGUUGGCAUCAAAAAGACUUAUUAUGCCAUGGUAGUCAUUUCGUUCCCUUAAAUUUUCUUUUCUUCUAUAGAAUUGCAAGUAUAAGUUGCUAUGGGCCUAAAGGUCAUCUGCCAUUGGCUGGGUUUUCAGCUUUUCAUUUCCUUUACACGAAGUUGUACAGACGAGAAUUCUGGGAACUCUGCUGAGGUGACAAGACUUUCAAGUAAAUUUAGAUUACCCUUGCAUCACACCUUUUUGCUAUUUUAUAGUUAUGCAACUGUAAUUUUGUAAUAUUUGGGAGUGCGACUAGCAAAUGUAUAGAUUGUCUUUUUAAGAAACAUAGUUACAGCUGAAGCAUUAGUUAUCCCAUCUUCAUUUGGAUUAUCCUAAGGGAAUGAUUCAAUUUUACUUACUUUGUGCCACUGUACCAUCUAAUAGUCUUCACAAUAAUUUUUCAGCUUUUCAUUUCCAUUACACGAAGUUGUACAGAUAAAUCGGCAAGCGGAAAUCUGAUGAGGUGAUAGAAUUCCAAGUAAAUUUACAUUACCCUUCUAUCACAUCCUUUUUGCUAUUUUAUAUCGUUUUUUUCUCAAGAACCUGGGAUCAUUAAACUGUUUUGUUGACAAUGGGUUGUAGAUAAAUGAACUGACGAAACUGAAGAAGUUCAUAUCCUGUGUUUGCGCUGCGAAUUGUUGUAGCCUUUUCGGGGAUUCUCAUAUAUUUAUUCAGCAAAUAAAGAGGAUGUGCGUAGCCACGAACGGCGAAAUGCUCGUGCCAUCCCACAAGCUCUGAUCGGGAAGCACUUGACGUGCAUGAUGCGCACACCUCGCGGUCUAUGCUCAAGCAACAAGACUACUCAGCAGCAGUGGCUUCUUCGACGGUGACUACCACGCCUGUGGAUGCGUCGACACAUUUCGUGGCUACAACUACGGCUGCCAAAGUGGUGGCGGGGUUGGGGCAUACUAGCUCCCACCUGCUGAGACACGCAUGGAAGGCUGUCAUCCUGUAGCUUGGCUCGCAGAUCUGGUUGCUCCAAGAUCUGGCGUGUGUUGAUGUCAAGCUCCUCCGGGAGCGGCGGCUCAUCCUUGAAGGAGGCCACCGGCUCAAUGCCGAUGGGCACCGCGAAGAGGGGUGGCACCGAGAAGGAGGACAUGGCGACGACGGAUGGAGAUGUGCGCGGAGGGAAAGUGUGGAUGAUGGAUUUGAAGCUGUCCAUGGUGGAGGACUGCCCUGCCUCUCAGAACCUCUCAUUAUCCACAUCAGCAUCGACUCCACUCUCCCUGUGCACCUCACUAGAUCUAUUGAGACGGCGCAGGGGAGGCAUGUGCAAAGCUAAGAGGACAUGCAUCAUAGAGGAGAGGAAU